UGGAGAGAACACUGUACUGUAUCUAGGUGAGAUGAUGAUGGAGAGAACACUAUACUGUAUCUAGGUGAGAUGAUGAUGGAGAGAACACUGUACUGUAUCUAGGUGAGAUGAUGAUGGAGAGAACACUACUGUAUCUAGGUGAGAUGAUGAUGGAGAGAACACUGUACUGUAUCUAGGUAAGAUGAUGAUGGAGAGAACACUGUACUGUAUCUAGGUGAGAUGAUGAUGGAGAGAACACUAUACUGUAUCUAGGUGAGAUGAUGAUGGAGAGAACACUGUACUGUAUCGAGGUGAGAUGAUGAUGGAGAGAACACUAUACUGUAUCUAGGUGAGAUGAUGAUGGAGAGAACACUACUGUAUCUAGGUGAGAUGAUGAUGGAGAGAACACUGUACUGUAUCUAGGUGAGAUGAUGAUGGAGAGAACACUGUACUGUAUCUAGGUGAGAUGAUGAUGGAGAGAACACUAUACUAUAUCUAGGUGAGAUGAUGAUGGAGAGAACACUGUACUGUAUCUAGGUGAGAUGAUGAUGGAGAGAACACUGUACUAUAUCUAGGUGAGAUGAUGAUGGAGAGAACACUGUACUGUAUCUAGGUGAGAUGAUGAUGGAGAGAACACUGUACUGUAUCUAGGUGAGAUGAUGAUGGAGAGAACACUGUACUAUAUCUAGGAGAGUUGAUGAUGGAGAGAACACUGUACUGUAUCUAGGUGAGAUGAUGAUGGAGAGAACACUGUACUGUAUCUAGGAGAGUUGAUGAUGGAGAGAACACUGUACUGUAUCUAGGUGAGUUGAUGAUGGAGAGAACACUGUACUGUAUCUAGGAGAGUUGAUGAUGGAGAGAACACUAUACUGUAUCUAGGUGAGAUGAUGGAGAGAACACUAUACUGUAUCUAGGUGAGAUGAUGAUGGAGAGAACACUACUGUAUCUAGGUGAGAUGAUGAUGGAGAGAACACUAUACUGUAUCUAGGUGAGAUGAUGAUGGAGAGAACACUGUACUGUAUCUAGGUGAGAUGAUGAUGAUGGAGAGAACACUGUACUGUAUCUAGGUGAGAUGAUGAUGGAGAGAACACUACUGUAUCUAGGUGAGAUGAUGAUGGAGAGAACACUGUACUGUAUCUAGGUGAGAUGAUGAUGGAGGAACACUAUACUGUAUCUAGGUGAGAUGAUGAUGGAGAGAACACUGUACUGUAUCUAGGUGAGAUGAUGAUGAUGGAGAGAACACUGUACUGUAUCUAGGUGAGAUGAUGAUGGAGAGAACACUACUGUAUCUAGGUGAGAUGAUGAUGGAGAGAACACUGUACUGUAUCUAGGUGAGAUGAUGAUGGAGGAACACUAUACUGUAUCUAGGUGAGAUGAUGAUGGAGAGAACACUGUACUGUAUCUAGGUGAGAUGAUGAUGGAGGAACACUGUACUGUAUCUAGGUGAGAUGAUGAUGGAGAGAACACUGUACUGUAUCUAGGUGAGAUGAUGAUGGAGAGAACACUACUGUAUCUAGGUGAGAUGAUGAUGGAGAGAACACUAUACUGUAUCUAGGUGAGAUGAUGAUGGAGAGAACACUACUGUAUCUAGGUGAGAUGAUGAUGGAGAGAACACUGUACUGUAUCUAGGUGAGAUGAUGAUGGAGAGAACACUGUACUGUAUCUAGGUGAGAUGAUGAUGGAGAGAACACUGUACUGUAUCGAGGUGAGAUGAUGAUGGAGAGAACACUACUGUAUCUAGGUGAGAUGAUGAUGGAGAGAACACUGUACUGUAUCUAGGUGAGAUGAUGAUGGAGAGAACACUGUACUGUAUCUAGGUGAGAUGAUGGAGAGAACACUGUACUGUAUCUAGGUGAGAUGAUGAUGGAGAGAACACUGUACUGUAUCUAGGUGAGAUGAUGGAGAGAACACUAUACUGUAUCUAGGUGAGAUGAUGAUGGAGAGAACACUGUACUAUAUCUAGGUGAGAUGAUGAUGGAGAGAACACUGUACUGUAUCUAGGUGAGAUGAUGAUGGAGAGAACACUAUACUGUAUCUAGGUGAGAUGAUGAUGGAGAGAACACUGUACUGUAUCUAGGUGAGAUGAUGAUGGAGAGAACACUGUACUGUAUCUAGGUGAGAUGAUGAUGGAGAGAACACUGUACUGUAUCUAGGUGAGAUGAUGAUGGAGAGAACACUGUACUGUAUCUAGGUGAGAUGAUGAUGGAGAGAACACUAUACUGUAUCUAGGUGAGAUGAUGAUGGAGAGAACACUAUACUGUAUCUAGGUGAGAUGAUGAUGGAGAGAACACUGUACUGUAUCUAGGUGAGAUGAUGAUGGAGAGAACACUGUACUGUAUCUAGGUGAGAUGAUGAUGGAGAGAACACUGUACUGUAUCUAGGUGAGAUGAUGAUGGAGAGAACACUAUACUGUAUCUAGGUGAGAUGAUGAUGGAGAGAACACUAUACUGUAUCUAGGUGAGAUGAUGAUGGAGAGAACACUGUACUGUAUCUAGGUGAGAUGAUGAUGGAGAGAACACUGUACUGUAUCUAGGUGAGAUGAUGAUGGAGAGAACACUGU